UUUGGUCCCCAUGCAACCCCAGACAGAGGCAAAUAUGGCCACAACAUCUGCCUGGCCUGCGAUGAGGGAUCUCAAAGAGCGUCAGCAGGGCUCUCCAUACAAAGCACCUAGCAUGGGGGAACCUACAGGACCCUGCAGCUUGUUUUGGCUCCUUGACUCCUCAGGAAGGAUGAAAGAGACGGAUCCUGCAAAGCUAGCGAGGAUGAAAGGGGGAAGAUGGACGGUUGACCUGGUCAGGUUGUCUCCUGCAUCCCUCCCCACAACCUCUGAGUGUUCCCUCCCAGGGACCUCCGAGAGAUCUGAUGGUGAUGAAUUGGAAGAAAGAACAAGGGGGAGCCCAACAGAAUCCACAUAUCGGAGAAGUCAUCUAAAUAUUCUACGUGUGGAGAGAACAUUGGUCAGAGCUCCCAGUCCAUCUCCCAUCAAGGAAGGAGCUUCAUUCAGAGGGAUACCAUCACUUCCCAUGAAAGAACUCACAGUAGACAGAAAUUGUAUCAGUGCUUUGAAUGUGGAAAAAGCUUCAGUCAAAGCGAGACUCUCACUUCCCAUCAAAUAAUUCAUACAGGGGAGAAACCCUAUCAGUGCUUGGAAUGUGGAAAGAGCUUCAGUCUCAAGCACAGUCUCACUUCCCGUCGAAGAAUUCAUAUAGGUCACAAACCAUAUCAAUGCUUUGAAUGUGGAAAGAGCUUCUGUCAAAGUGCCCAUCUCACUUUUCAUCAAAUAGUUCAUAAAAGAGAGAAAAAUUCUUAGUGUUUGGAACGUGGGGAAAGCUUCAGUCAGAGUGCUGGUCUAAUUGCCCACCAAGUAAUUCACACAGGGUUGAAAGCAUUUAAGAACUCAAAGCAGGGUGAAUAAAGAAUAAUAAGUUCGGAAUCUUAUCCAACCCCCUCCAAUGCAGAAAUCUCGUUUCAAGCACCCGUGACAAAUGGCCAUCCAAAUUCUUCCUAAAAACCUCCAAUAAAGAGGAGUCUACUCCC